GACGGAAGGUGCAAGCGUUGCUCGGAAUCACUGGGCGUAAAGGGUGCGUAGGCGGCUUGGUAGGUCUGGUGUGAAAGCCCCGGGCUCAGCCCGGGAAGGGCACUAGAAACUGCCAAGCUAGAGUGCCGGAGGGGAGACUGGAAUUCCUGGUGUAGCGGUGAAAUGCGCAGAUAUCAGGAGGAACACCGGUGGCGAAGGCGGGUCUCUGGGCCGAUACUGACGCUGAGGAGCGAAAGCGUGGGGAGCGAACAGG
rnacentral:rRNA from 1 species